AUUGUCUAGAAUAAAUUUCACUCUUUUUUUCUUCCCCAUUAUCAAAUGCAGAAAUAGAAGUUGUUUUCUGUGCAGGCUAAAUUCAGUUGUUUAUUUUUAUUUAUGUUAUAUUUCUUAGUUGUUGUUUCCAUGGCUUGCUAUAUGUUUAUGGCUAAUACUAAUGAUAUACUAUAGGUUUUUUUUGUUUUGUUUUGUUUUAACCAAAGAAAUAGAGCAUUUAAGAAUAUGUGAGGGGCUGGAGAGAUGGCUCAGCAGUUAAGAGUAGUAUCUGCUCUUCCAGAGGUCCUGAGUUCAAUUCCCAGCAAUCACAUGGCAGCUCACAACUGUCUAAACUCUACUUCCAGGGAAUCUGACAGCCUCAAAGACCAUCCCACAUUUAAAAAAAAAAAAAAGAAAAGAAAAGAACAUGUGAAAGAGGGCUAAAGAGGUGACUCCUCAAACAGAAGCACUUGUUGCUCCUGCAGAGGACCCAUAUGCAGCUCCCAGCAUUCACAUGGGCCUCAUAACCACCCUAAACUCCAGUUUCAUGUGAUCCAGUUCUUCUGACCUCUGUGGGCACAAGGCAUGCAUAUGUGCACAUACAUCAGUGUAGGAAAGAACAAAAGAAAAAGGUAAUGUAUGACCAUCUCAGCUAAACUAAAGAAGUCAGGUAAAAAGCCAUGGUAGUUCUGAUGAAGUGAGUCUUUAAGACCUCCACCUAAUAAUGGUCGUUAAAACUCCAUGCAGCUCACUUAGGAAAUAAGAUAAACCAAUUAAACAUAUCUGUGCCUUCAUCAAAACUAGGAGAUAGGUUUCACAUUAUUAGGAGAAAAAAAAAAGCGUAGCUUACUCAGUUAAAGAUACUUUCUAGAGAGAUUUUUGCCAAGACUGCAUAAACUACCCAGUAAGAACAGAACAGGAAACCAUGCACCCUAGGGUGAGAACCACCAUUUCCUUUUUCUUCAGAGAGGAAACUCCAGACUGGGUAGGGCAUUUUUUAGACCUUUGUCUUGGGCUAGAUUGCAGUACUGGCUGUUUAAAAGUUCAUGGGAAACCAAGCUUAGUGGUGCUUGCUUGUGGCUCCAGUUAAAGGCUGGAGGGGGGAGGAGCUUCAGGUUGAAGAAUCACUUGAGCAUGCAAGUGAUAUAUGCAAGGUCCUGUGACAAAGGUGGCACACAGAUCUCACGUGCCAAUCAAGAGGACUAUUAUGGGGAGUGAAGGAGUUACUCGAAACUCUUGGAUGCCUGGUGAAAUGCAAGAACCAAGAAGAAGUUAAGUGACUAUAGAAAUAAGAAUAGCACAAGAUUAUAAGACAUGCAAUACUAAUUAAUUUUGUGUUAACCAUGACCAUAAUACCAGCCAGAAACAAGAGAGGGAAAGUUGAUUUUUUUUGAAUCAGAAGGUCCAGUCCAUCAUGAAGAGGAAGAGGAAGAGGAGGAGGAGGAGGAGAAAGAGGAAGCACAGUGAUGUAAGCAUGAAAAGCCAAGCAGUCGGGAGGGCCAGCAGCAGGAAGGGAAGCAGGGCAGGACUGGGGACGGAGGAGAGGGGAAGCACGCACGCUGAGCUAGCUUUUUCUUUCCCCCACCUUUCUUCUGUCUGACUCCCACUUAGCCCAUGGGGUGAUGCUACCCACAUCCAGAAUGUGUCUUCUCACCCUGGCUCUGUUGUCUCUUGAAGCACCCUCUCAGAUAGCAAGGGGUGUUCCUCUGAGCUUCCUUGAUCAUUGCAAAUUCAGUCAAGUUGUCCGUGACAAGUAACUAUCACACACACUAAGUCCUUUUGGUUGGUUAGACGUGAGAGGUUUUGAAAGAAAGUCUAGGUAUUCAUCUCAGGUCUUUACCAUUACUGUAUUUAAGUUGUAUUCAAUUACUCAUUGAAUCAAGAUUUCUGCUGAGGUAUAUAAAGAAGAAAGCAGAAAACAAACAAAACCCAAAUAUCUUAGCUACCAAAAACAUUCUUUUUCCCAAUAAAAACGAUUUAUGAAGCAGUUACCAAAAACAAACAACCCACUGUAACUUUUACUAAUAUCAUUAGGUAAGCUUUUGAAAACAUAAAAAGGAAAAACCGAGUCAGAAACUUUAAAACCUAAGUGUGUAAAGGCCAGGAAGAUGUAAAGUUAGGGUUGACCAGAAGAAAUGAAAGAACGUGACAAGCACUUAAGAAAUUUAUAGUAAAUUAAAUGUGGCUGAAAAUAUGGGAAAGAAAAGGUUG
rnacentral:lncRNA from 1 species